rnacentral:rRNA from 1 species
GAUGAACGCUAGCGGCAGGCUUAACACAUGCAAGUCGAGGGGUAUAGUAGCAAUACUAGAGACCGGCGCACGGGUGCGUAACGCGUAUGCAAUCUACCUCUCACAGAGGGAUAGCCCAGAGAAAUUUGGAUUAAUACCUCAUAGUAUAGUAUCUUGGCACCAAGGAACUAUUAAAGUCACAACGGUGAAAGAUGAGCAUGCGUCCCAUUAGUUAGUUGGUAAGGUAACGGCUUACCAGGACUACGAUGGGUAGGGGUCCUGAGAGGGAGAUCCCCCACACUGGUACUGAGACACGGACCAGACUCCUACGGGAGGCAGCAGUGAGGAAUAUUGGACAAUGGGCGCAAGCCUGAUCCAGCCAUGCCGCGUGCAGGAUGACGGUCCUAUGGAUUGUAAACUGCUUUUGUACAGGAAGAAACACCCCGACGUGUCGGGACUUGACGGUACUGUAAGAAUAAGGAUCGGCUAACUCCGUGCCAGCAGCCGCCGUAA